ACGGUGAUACAAUCCCAUAGAGCCGUCGUACAAAAACCUCCUCCCAUUGACAACCAUUGUGAAGACGGCUACAUGUAACUCAGGAAACCUGUUACAGCAGAAAACAUCAGUAUUCUAGGAGACCGUCAGUGUGACACUGGAACUGAAGCUUACUUUGGAAAAGGAACAAAACUCACUGUUUUAG